ACGAACGCUGGCGGCAGGCCUAACACAUGCAAGUCGGACGGUAGCACAGAGGAGCUUGCUCCUCGGGUGACGAGUGGCGGACGGGUGAGUAAUGUCUGGGGAUCUGCCCGAUAGAGGGGGAUAACCACUGGAAACGGUGGCUAAUACCGCAUAACGUCGCAAGACCAAAGAGGGGGACCUUCGGGCCUCUCACUAUCGGAUGAACCCAGAUGGGAUUAGCUAGUAGGCGGGGUAAUGGCCCACCUAGGCGACGAUCCCUAGCUGGUCUGAGAGGAUGACCAGCCACACUGGAACUGAGACACGGUCC
rnacentral:rRNA from 1 species